UUUGGAGGUUGUGCCCUUGAGGCGUGGCUUCCGGAGCUAACGCGUUAAAUCGACCGCCUGGGGAGUACGGCCGCAAGGUUAAAACUCAAAUGAAUUGACGGGGGCCCGCACAAGCAGUGGAGCAUGUGGUUUAAUUCGAUGCAACGCGAAGAACCUUACCUACUCUUGACAUCCAGAGAACUUUCCAGAGAUGGAUUGGUGCCUUCGGGAACUCUGAGACAGGUGCUGCAUGGCUGUCGUCAGCUCGUGUUGUGAAAUGUUGGGUUAAGUCCCGCAACGAGCGCAACCCUUAUCCUUUGUUGCCAGCGGUUCGGCCGGGAACUCAAAGGAGACUGCCAGUGAUAAACUGGAGGAAGGUGGGGAUGACGUCAAGUCAUCAUGGCCCUUACGAGUAGGGCUACACACGUGCUACAAUGGCAUAUACAAAGAGAAGCGACCUCGCGAGAGCAAGCGGACCUCAUAAAGUAUGUCGUAGUCCGGAUUGGAGUCUGCAACUCGACUCCAUGAAGUCGGAACCGCUAGUAAUCGUAGAUCAGAAUGCUACGGUGAAUACGUUCCCGGGCCUUGUACACACCGCCCGUCACACCAUGGGAGUGGGUUGCAAAAGAAGUAGGUAGCUUAACCUUCGGGAGGGCGCUUACCACUUUGUGAUUCAUGACUGGGGUGAAGUCGUAACAGGUAACCGUAGGGGAACCUGC
rnacentral:rRNA from 1 species